rnacentral:rRNA from 1 species
AUCAGUAAGCGGAGGAAAAGAAACUAACAAGGAUUCCCUCAGUAGCGGCGAGCGAACAGGGAAGAGCUCAGCACCGAAUCCCGCGUUCUGUGAAAAGGAUGCAGGGAAAUGUGGUGUUCGGGAGGACCGUGCGCGCCUGUCCGGNACAUAUCGUCCAAGUCCUCAUGAACGGGGCGAGCAACCCAUAGAGGGUGUCAGGCCCGUAGACUAGACGAGCCGCUAGACCGUGCAUCGGGUCUCUUUCCCAAGAGUCGGGUUGCUUGAGAGUGCAGCCCUAAGCGGGAGGUAAACUCCUUCUAAAGCUAAAUAUCGCCACGAGACCGAUAGCGAACAAGUACCGCGAGGGAAAGUUGAAAAGAACUUUGAAGAGAGAGUUCAAUAGUGCGUGAAACCGUUCAGGGGGUUAAACGGGUGGGCCCUCGAAGGUCGAACGGUCUUCGCUCCCGGCACUCGGUUGCAUGCCUCUCGCCUGUAUCGGACGCCGCUUAAAUUAGCCGCGCCCGAGUCCCGCUAUGGAAGCCUAGAUAUCCGCGACCGAUUGGGUGUGCUGUUAUAAGGGGCGUUCGUUAGCUCGGUUUCGGGCGCAAGUCUGUUACCGUUGCGCGGCGUCUUUUCCGAGCAGUCCCCGCCCGAUCGUGACCUGUAUCUCCGGCGGAUUUUCCUUUUUUACCGGGGGAGCGGUACCGUACGGGGCCUAUCAGAGCGGAGAGUAAUAUGUCGGAUCCCACCCGACCCGUCUUGAAACACGGACCAAGGAGUCUAACAUGUACGCGAGUCGUCGAGUCAUAAACUAAACUCGAGAGGCGCAAUGAAAGUAAAGUCACGCCCGAUGAGGGUGUGCGAGGGGAGAUGCCGUCUCGAACAGAGCGGUCGCAUCCCCUGGGCGUUCGAAGCCGCGAGCGACCGUCAAAAAGUCGCGAAUCGGCCGGACGAACCGAGAGCGUACACGUUGGGACCCGAAAGAUGGUGACCUAUGCCUGACCAGGACGAAGCCAGGGGAAACCCUGGUGGAGGUCCGCAGCGAUNCUGACGUGCAAAUCGAUCGUCGGAGUUGGGUAUAGGGGCGAAAGACUAAUCGAACCAUCUAGUAGCUGU